UACGAAGGGGGCUAGCGUUGUUCGGAAUUACUGGGCGUAAAGGGCGCGCAGGCGGCCCUCCAAGUCGGGUGUGAAACCUCCAGGCUCAACCUGGAGACGCCACCUGAUACUGGCGUGACUAGAGUCCGGUAGGGGAGUGUGGAACUCCUGGUGUAGCGGUGAAAUGCGCAGAUAUCAGGAGGAACACCGAUGGCGAAGGCAGGUCUCUGGGCCACUACUGACGCUGAGAAGCGAAAGCAUGGGGAGCAAACAGG
rnacentral:rRNA from 1 species